UUUUGUUGUUUCUGAUUCCUUUUUCUCUCCAGGCAUAUCGCUCCGUCCAAAUCAGGUAGAACACGAGCUCAAUACUGAUCUUCUGCGAGGUCGAAUUGGAGAUGGAUUUGAAGACAGAGGCCAAAUCGGAGAUGGAACCAUACAUGGGUCUUCAACGAAAAGUCCCAGGGUGGUGGAAGCUUGAAACUCGGCGCCUUGCUUCUCUCUGUGAGAAAUCAGUGAUUUUGAAAAAGAGGAGCUUUGUGCAUCGGGGAGCCAUCUUCAAAGGUCCGCAUAUUGUGGGUAUAAGGCGAGGACAGCAGCUGCAGUUAAGAUCCCAGAGUAUCAAUUUGGGGACAGUUUGACGUGCCGGUGUAAACAAAAGCAGUAAUUAUCAGAGCCUCAGAGGCCUUUCGAAGCUUUAUUUUUUUAAAGGUGGAGGCGAGAACAGUAACUAUAGUGCGGCCAAGUAUCGGAACUCCAGGAUUCAAACUCAAGGGUGAGGCUUUCUUUUUAUUUACCCACUGGUUUGUUUAGAAUAGGUGUUUCGGAACGGAGGUUGGGACUGGCUCUUUUUGGCUACGGAGUUUUGAAAAGAUGCAGGGAGGAAUUAUAUGUGGUGUUUAAGUGGAAUUGACAGAGUUCCUGUUAUCAUUUUUAUAUUGAACCACGACCCUAUGGUGAUUCAUAAAGGGCCCUCUGACAGUUCGGUGUAUUAAACAGCCAAAACUUGAGGAUAAUAUUGGCACCCUAAGGCACGCUGUAUCAAAGUUCUGAAACAGUAUUGGCACCAUAAGGCACUGCCACCGGAGCUUUGAAAGCAGUUUCGGCACCCUAAGGCACGCCGAAUGAAUCUCUGAAACAGUAUUGGCACCGAAAGGUACCGCCACUGGAGCUUUGAAAGUGGUAAAACCAUAAAGAGAUGCAGACGGAUCCUCCACCUUUGAUUCCUAUGGAACACGUUGCGGCUUCUUCUGUCUCCUUUUCUGCCUCUGUUUUUUUUUUUUUUGGCCCUUUUGUACGGCCUUCUUGGCUUCUUAUAUAGUGUACUGACGGUACGGUUGAGUUUUAGAGAGACUCUUGUAUUUGACAUGACAUGAAACACCAAAAGAUAACUAUGAUCCCUAUCAGGGAGUUACCGUGCAUCAGUUGCAAUCAAACUCUAAUACUUAAUAAGCUCAUGUGCAAUUAUGGGCAAUUGACCUUCACGCAUUGUCCGUC